rnacentral:rRNA from 1 species
GGGGAAUCUUCCGCAAWGGGGGCAACCCUGACGGWGCAAUACCGCGUGAGGGWGGAAGCUUUUUGGAGUGUAAACCUCUCUUCUUAGGGAAGAAGAUGACGGUACCUAGGGAAUCAGCAUCGACUAACUUCGUGCCAGCAGCCGCGGUAAUACGAGGGAUGCAAGCGUUAUCCGGAAUUAUUGGGCGUAAAGCGUUCGUAGGUGGUUGUGUAAGUCAGUUUUCAAAGAGUCCAGCUCAACUGGAUAAAGGGGAUUGAAACUGCGCGAUUAGAGUUAGGUAGGGGUAAGAGGAAUUCCUAGUGUAGCGGUGAAAUGCGUAGAUAUUAGGAAGAACACCAGUGGCGAAAGCGUCUUACUGGGCCAUAACUGACACUGAGGGACGAAAGCUAGGGGAGCGAAAGGGAUCAGAUACCCCUGUAGUCA